ACUUUGUUUGUUAACCGAAAUAAUUUUUGCUUAUGUAAAGUGAACAUCACACGCAAAAAUGUAGGUUUUCCUUUUGGCUAUUCUGUUUGCCUGUCAAACACUUGUUUCUUCAUGUAGUUACUAAAUACUUUGAGGUUAUUUUAAGAAUUAUGAACACACUCAAAUCCAUUUAAUUGACUUUGUGAUUAAAAAACCUAACAAGCGAGGAAAUCCUUGAUAACGCAUCUAACUUUACAUUUUUAAAUAGAAUCUGCACAGAUUAUAUAAUGUAAUUUUUUGUAAUUUGAAUCAAUAAUCCACAGUACGUGUCAUACUUAAUUGCCCAACCCUGACUGUCAUGCUGCACAUGCUGCAUGGUGCUCUGUGACAAAUUAAGAAACUUUAAAGUACUCAGACCAGCACUUUUGGAGCGUUUAUGAUAUUCAUUAGAAUUUAAACUCAUUAAUAAAAGUGUAAUUGUGUCAGUUGUUGCCCUUGGCAGUCAAUAGGUUGGUUACAAGUGCUUUGUUUGCACAUGAAGUCCAAACUCCAGUGAGUUUAACCGUACAAUAAACUUUACAAACAGCUCAAUCACAGUUUUGGUUCAACCCCCACAAACAUUAUCUCAGCAUAAAAUGUGAGCACAUAUUUGGCAUCUAUAUAAUAAAAAAGAAACUGGUUUGCUAUGCACAUUUUGUGUCUUAACACCCAUACUAAAUGUAAGAAGUAAAUGAUAUGCCAGACCACAUCAGAAAAACAGUGUGGGUGACAACCUUGCUAAAUUUCCUCUGUACUGACUGUUGGACCACUUCCGAUGUCUCAGACUCAUUUAAGCUGUUAAGCUCAAUCUAAAACCUUUUGCUGAGAGGAUGAGUUUGUGAUCUGUGUUUUUUAUGAGCAGUAAUGGUACAGCCAGGAUGCUUCAUGUUGGGUUUUAUUUCUGCGGGGACAGGAAUUUCUCCAAUAUGAAACAGAAAGGCUUCAUUUUCACUUUUUUACUUGUUUGGAACUUCUCUACUUUCUCAGGAAACAUGACUGUUAAUAUAAAUCAGCAACGUGAUAUUUUGCCAGUCGCAACACAACUUAAUUUUUCGCUGGGAUGUCGUGCUGUGAUACCGUGUCAGCAUUGCAGCCAUCAUUUAGACUCUUUCAAAUGGCUUUACAAGAAGGACCAAAGUAGUAAGCAGGUUCAGUUGUUCUUCCAAGAUAAGAAUGGAGUGCAAUAUCAUCAAAUGUCCAAUCCCAAAUUGAAAAUUGGAUCCAGUCGUUCCUUGGUCAUCAGUUCUUUUACUGAAGAUGAUGAAGGUGUGUACUGGUGUGAAACUUGCCAAGAAACAUGCCAAAAGUCCACUGACAUCAUAGUGAAGAAAGAGAUGUUGAGACUUUUCAGAACUAAGAGCAACAGCAGACAAUUUGACUUUCAACAAGUCUAUAUAUAUUGGAAAUGUCAGAAAAGAAGAUGCUGGGAAAUAUACCUGCUGGAUGAGUAACUGUGUCGGACACAGUAUUAAGCUAGUCACUAUCAAUUUGUGUGUAGUUACAGUAUAUGACAGUAAGGAUUCAUCUGCAUCUUGUGCUGUGACGUGCGGCAUGAAAUCCAAUAAUCCAAACAGAACUUUAACUACAUCUGUGCAUGUACAUUCACACGGGUCCCUAAAGUGCAAUAUAGAUUCAGUGUUUGAUGGAUACACUACAGUUAGUAUGAGUCCCACAUUUAGCACAAACGCAUUUAGCACAACAACAGGUGGGUGUUUAGCCAUAUGCUGUUUGUGAACCUUUUACACCUGAAUCAAAGAAAUAAUAAUAUUUAGUUUUUGGUUUAACAAGUUUUGAAAAAGAGCCUGAAGACUGGAUCCCACUUAUUUGUGGUAUAUCAAUAUCAAGUGUCAUUUUAAUGGCAUUUAUGAUUUUUUGCUUCAAAUCAAGAUUACAUUCAGGUAGGCUAUGCAGCUGCGCCUUACUUCCACUUCUUGUGUAUAUUAUUGGGUUUUUUUUAAAUGGUUUGCUUGAAAAAUUCCUCCCAUGAUUCUGAAUAUACUUCUGCUUCUGUCUCACCAAAGCAUUUCCUGUUCAAAUUUGUUGCUGUGGCUUGAAUAGCAGGGUGGAAGAGGAGUCUUCAGUGGUUUAUUCAUCAGUUAUCAUCAGGACACCUGGCAAAAGAAUUAAUCACAUGACCUCUAGUGAUUGUGUUUAUUGUGAAAUAAAAGUAUAGAGAAAAAAAAAGUCCAGGAUAAGUGAGGUCACUUUUAUUUAUAUAGAACAUUUUAAAACAAUAUGGAUUGGUCCAAAGUGCUUUUCAGUUGACUGUUAAAAUAGGUAAGGUCAUUAAAGGGCACUGUUUAGAAUUAUACUUUCCAUCCUUGCUGUCAUUUGAUUUAGUAACUAAUUCCUCAAAUUACUUAAAUUGUAACUUCACCCACAUGUUGCUCAAGGGAAAAUCUGAAACCAUGAGUCUUUUUUUCCAACAAAGGAAUGAUUUCUAAUCGAAUCUUUAACUGAACUUUUACCUAAUUCUCUGAAAGCAGGGCAGGUGUUUUAAAGUACAUGGAUCGAUAAUUUUAAUGAGAGGCUUUGAGGGUGAUACAGAUGUUAUGUAA